CCCCCGCCCCCGGGGCUGCCCUGCCCCACCGCAGCACCAGGCUCGGGGGAGGGAGCCCAGAAGCGGCUGCUGUCGAGGAAGGCAGGGCGGCCCAGGCGGGGUACAGGUGUCCCUCAAGAACACUUUGCCCUCGCUCUUUGUGGUGCCGGAGUAGAAACACACUGCAGUGCGCCCGUCCCAGCAAACCCUGCCGAGCCUUGUAGAAAUCAGUCCUCCCUUAGAGCUACAAAGGGCUGAAGCUGCCCUCCGGACCUCCCUGCCGCUGCGGUCAGGCUCCUUUGUGCCUUGCUGCAGACAGGGUGACAACACACUGCAUUCCAGCCUGGGGGUGACC